GGGCCAGCCAUUUUUACUUAGGGGAACGGCACCCUUUUGUGUGGGCGUGGGUAGCCAUUCUUGUGUGGGGCUGAAGCCUGACAGUUGAAGGCUGCUCUGCUCCUUCAGUUCUGACCCCAUUUCCUCAGGAUCUCAUUCCCUGAGGAUCGAGGCCUGACAUUUCAGACAGAAGCUGAAGAAAGGAGGUCAGAGCAUUGAAAUGAGAAGACCAGGAUUUAGAAUGGAGUCACUGUGCAAAUUUGGGCAAGUUUUUCAGUCACUUUGUUCCUUCCACUCUGCUGAGCUAGACUUGAAAUGGACGACUCUAAAGAGAAAUUUUUGCUUCUUUACAGUCUCAAUUUA